rnacentral:misc_RNA from 1 species
GCCACUACCGAUUGAAUGGUUUAGUGAGGACUCCUGAUUGGCGCCGCCGCCCCGGCAACGGAGCAGCGGACUGCCGAAAAGUUGUUCAAACUUGAUCAUUUAGAGGAAGUAAAAGUCGUAACAAGGUUUCCGUAGGUGAACCUGCAGAAGGACA